AACGCGAAGAACCUUACCUGGUCUUGACAUGUACGGAACCCUCCAGAGACGGAGGGGUGCCUUCGGGAACCGUAACACAGGUGCUGCAUGGCUGUCGUCAGCUCGUGUCGUGAGAUGUUGGGUUAAGUCCCGCAACGAGCGCAACCCUUGUCAUUAGUUGCCAUCAUUCAGUUGGGCACUCUAAUGAGACUGCCAGUGACAAACCGGAGGAAGGUGGGGAUGACGUCAAAUCAUCAUGCCCCUUAUGAUUUGGGCUACACACGUGCUACAAUGGACAAUACAAAGGGUAGCAAAACCGCGAGGUCAAGCAAAUCCCAUAAAGUUGUUCUCAGUUCGGAUUGUAGUCUGCAACUCGACUACAUGAAGCUGGAAUCGCUAGUAAUCGUAGAUCAGCAUGCUACGGUGAAUACGUUCCCGGGUCUUGUACACACGC
rnacentral:rRNA from 1 species